GAAUGUGAGCGUGCUCUGGCUACAGUAUCUGUCACUGAUCGAUUGCCAAGGUUGAUCUGGCUGAUCUGGCUGGCUAAGAGGUUGCCCUCUUCCGCCCUCAUCACUUCAUGUGCAUCGCUCCUGAAACUGUGCUCUCAGUGGAAGAGGGUCAUCUCCCCAAUGGGGAAGGACCUUUCUUCCACCAAGGGUUUAUGAGUAGCUGUGGUCCCCUGUUAGAGCCUACAAAUAAGCUCUCAAGGAUGCAUGUGGUCUAAAUGAUUAUUUUAUAAUGUAAAUAUAAUAAUAUAAUAUAAUAUAAUAUAAUAUAAUAUAAUAUAAU
ensembl:misc_RNA 7SK 7SK RNA